CCAAAGGUUUUUGGGAAGUCAUAUGGGAAUGCACAGCCCUAGCAUUUAUUUUGCUGCCUAACGGUCUUUCUUCCUAAGCUAAUCAGGGUGAUCUUGAGCAUUUCAUUGGAUUUCCUAGUCACACUGGAGCUGCUUAGUCAGAAAUGGUUGCAGGAAAGCCUUGCAGAAUUGCUUCCAGAUCAAUAAAAACAAGAUGGUCCUUGCCCCCAGGCUUACAAAGGCAAGAUCGCGGUCACAGACAGACACUUGCUGUGAAGCUU